CGUUGAAUCCGAAGCCGAACCAGCGCAUUCCUACUGCCAGUGACACAGUCCCAGGAAAAACGGAGUCCACAUGCUGCAGCUUCCUGCGAAGACUAAUCAACCUGCCUGCGUGGCGGCCAUGUUAGCAGGGGCGAGAACAUCAGAACUUCAUUGGAAUUGGGGUAAAGGCAGCGACACUGCUGUGGCCACACGUGUUGCACCCUUCGGUGGCCACAGCAACGUGAAGCAUGGCCCACGGAAUUACAAUGCAGGCAAAGGAGAGACAAUUUUGCCUGUCAUUAUGCCAGGGCCCAGAGACUGCCUGGCUGCAGCGGGGUAACUCUCUGCAGCCUAUGAGAACGUAUGUUCAUAGCUGGGAAUAUUCCUCUUGUGGCUAAAGUGCCGAGCAAAAGCUGUCUUAGGAGGUCUUGGAAUGCUUUAUUUUUGGGUUCAAGCUGGGCACACCGCUGCACAUCUACAAAGGCCUGGUCAAGACGUCCAAGUUUCUGAAAAGCCUGAGCCCUCCGAAA